GGUAAAUAGGAUACUACAUAUGAUUUACACAGGUAGGUAUGAUGCGAUUAAUCACGUUAUAAUUCUUCUCUUCAUGAGGGCUUUCUGGGAAAUUGAUAAAAAUUCAUUAGGAGUAUUUACGCGAUUAGCCAUGAAUAACUCGUUUGCUAUUUUAAACAUCCAAAUUUUCAUUUACGUAAUUUUAUACCUAAUAAUGUGUUUAAAAUCAAAAUAUAUCAUUUUGACCAAUAUUGCAACUCAAAAGUGUUUUGAAAAAAUAGUGCAACAUCAGCAAACAAAAUUCAAAAUUUGACUUCCAUAUCUCAAGAUAAUCCCCAUGGGAUACGUAAAAGCGUACAAAAAAUCCAGAACAAAACUCAACGAUGACUUCAAGAACGGUCGCAUCUUCGUUUUGGUUAAUCAUCAGGAUAGUUCGCGUACCUUCCACCAUUUGCUUACUAAUCCACUUCUACAAAUUUUUCGCGAGCAAAGCCACGCAAACCUUGGCCACCAAGAACCUGACUUACUACUGCGUUUUUCUAUUCGUUCUUUACAUCAAUUCGUUCGUCAUGUGGCUCGACCCGAGUCAAGAACGACUCGAAAUCGAACUCGAAUUCAUGAUACACAUCAUCUUAACGAAGACUUUUUUAAAAUUCAUCGUCGCUAUGGACUUAUGUUGGAAUUUUCGUAAAAUCGCCCUAUUUCUGCAUCGACCUUCGGGUUCUCAAAAUACGAAAUUCUUAAUUUAUUGUCUGUUCGGUACAUUGAUUCCUUUAACGUAUACAAUUUUAAUGGUGUUUGUAUUUCCGGGAUCAGAACGAGCGUAUCAAUACGAACCCCACAUAUGGGCGAUUCGAAUUAUUCGCACUGUGCGUCUAGUGCCUAUUUUUGGCGCAUUUUGGUAUAUUUGGCUAUCGAGUAUGAAUAAAACUGAGUUAUGGAAGAAGUUCUCUUUGCAUAUACGUCUCCUAAUUUUGCUGGGAGGGUUUUCCACUGUGAUAGGCGUGGCUGAGUUGUUCUUUGCGAAAAUCGACGAUGAAAAGGAAAUAAGGCGAGAUCGACCUUUAGAUAGGCCUUAUUUUUUCGCUCAUCUUUUCGGAGCUAUUCUGGAAGGGUGCUUUAUCGGGGUGUGUUUUACGUUCAAGAAGGAUACGUUUCAAACUGUUACUACGAGUAUAGGUGGAUGACGUCGAGGGAAGGAAAGGGUAUCAUGUAUUGGAAUGGAGAUUUGAUGAAUUUUCAAACAGCUAGUGAGCUAAUUUCGGUAGAUAUUUUAAGUAUUUUGUGAUUAGGUACUCAUAUAAUAUUAUUCGAACUGAAAUAUAGUUUUGUAUUUUUUUUUACGAUGAAGUUUUAUUUUUGAUAUUUAAGUAAUAAACAUUCUCAAAUUUUA